GCCGGGCGUGGUGGCGCGUGCCUGUAAUCCCAGGUACUCAGGAGGCUGAGGCAGGAGAAUGGCUUGAACCCAGGAGGUGGAGAUUGCAGUGAGCUGAGAUCGCACCACUGCACUCCAGCCUGGGUGACAGAGCAAGACUCUGUCUCAA
rnacentral:SRP_RNA from 1 species